CCUGGCUCAGGAUGAACGCUAGCUACAGGCUUAACACAUGCAAGUCGAGGGGCAGCAUUUCAGUUUGCUUGCAAACUGGAGAUGGCGACCGGCGCACGGGUGAGUAACACGUAUCCAACCUGCCGAUAACUCGGGGAUAGCCUUUCGAAAGAAAGAUUAAUACCCGAUGGUAUAAUCAGACCGCAUGGUCUUGUUAUUAAAGAAUUUCGGUUAUCGAUGGGGAUGCGUUCCAUUAGGCAGUUGGUGAGGUAACGGCUCACCAAACCUUCGAUGGAUAGGGGUUCUGAGAGGAAGGUCCCCCACAUUGGAACUGAGACACGGUCCAAACUCCUACGGGAGGCAGCAGUGAGGAAUAUUGGUCAAUGGGCGCAGGCCUGAACCAGCCAAGUAGCGUGAAGGAUGACUGCCCUAUGGGUUGUAAACUUCUUUUAUAUGGGAAUAAAGUUUUCCGCGUGUGGAAUUUUGUAUGUACCAUAUGAAUAAGGAUCGGCUAACUCCGUGCCAGCAGCCGCGGUAAUACGGAGGAUCCGAGCGUUAUCCGGAUUUAUUGGGUUUAAAGGGAGCGUAGGUGGACAGUUAAGUCAGUUGUGAAAGUUUGCGGCUCAACCGUAAAAUUGCAGUUGAUACUGGCUGUCUUGAGUACAGUAGAGGUGGGCGGAAUUCGUGGUGUAGCGGUGAAAUGCUUAGAUAUCACGAAGAACUCCGAUUGCGAAGGCAGCUCACUGGACUGCAACUGACACUGAUGCUCGAAAGUGUGGGUAUCAAACAGGAUUAGAUACCCUGGUAGUCCACACAGUAAACGAUGAAUACUCGCUGUUUGCGAUAUACAGUAAGCGGCCAAGCGAAAGCAUUAAGUAUUCCACCUGGGGAGUACGCCGGCAACGGUGAAACUCAAAGGAAUUGACGGGGGCCCGCACAAGCGGAGGAACAUGUGGUUUAAUUCGAUGAUACGCGAGGAACCUUACCCGGGCUUAAAUUGCAUUUGAAUAUAUUGGAAACAGUAUAGCCGUAAGGCAAAUGUGAAGGUGCUGCAUGGUUGUCGUCAGCUCGUGCCGUGAGGUGUCGGCUUAAGUGCCAUAACGAGCGCAACCCUUAUCUUUAGUUACUAACAGGUCAUGCUGAGGACUCUAGAGAGACUGCCGUCGUAAGAUGUGAGGAAGGUGGGGAUGACGUCAAAUCAGCACGGCCCUUACGUCCGGGGCUACACACGUGUUACAAUGGGGGGUACAGAAGGCAGCUACCUGGUGACAGGAUGCUAAUCCCAAAAGCCUCUCUCAGUUCGGAUCGAAGUCUGCAACCCGACUUCGUGAAGCUGGAUUCGCUAGUAAUCGCGCAUCAGCCAUGGCGCGGUGAAUACGUUCCCGGGCCUUGUACACACCGCCC
rnacentral:rRNA from 1 species